rnacentral:rRNA from 1 species
GAUGAACGCUGGCGGCGUGCCUAAUACAUGCAAGUCGAGCGAACGGACGAGAAGCUUGCUUCUCUGAUGUUAGCGGCGGACGGGUGAGUAACACGUGGAUAACCUACCUAUAAGACUGGGAUAACUUCGGGAAACCGGAGCUAAUACCGGAUAAUAUUUUGAACCGCAUGGUUCAAAAGUGAAAGACGGUCUUGCUGUCACUUAUAGAUGGAUCCGCGCUGCAUUAGCUAGUUGGUAAGGUAACGGCUUACCAAGGCAACGAUGCAUAGCCGACCUGAGAGGGUGAUCGGCCACACUGGAACUGAGACACGGUCCAGACUCCUACGGGAGGCAGCAGUAGGGAAUCUUCCGCAAUGGGCUAAAGCCUGACGGAGCAACGCCGCGUGAGUGAUGAAGGUCUUCGGAUCGUAAAACUCUGUUAUUAGGGAAGAACAUAUGUGUAAGUAACUGUGCACAUCUUGACGGUACCUAAUCAGAAAGCCACGGCUAACUACGUG